AUCAACGCUGGCGGCGUGCCACAGACAUGCAAGUCGAACGAUUAAAGCUCUCUUCGGAGAGUGCAUAAAGUGGCGCACGGGUGAGUAACACGUAAGUAAUCUACCUUCGAGUGGGGAAUAACGUCCGGAAACGGACGCUAAUACCGCAUAACGCAGCGGCAUCGCAAGAUGACAGUUGUUAAAGAUUUAUCGCUUGAAGAGGAGCUUGCGGCAGAUUAGCUUGUUGGUAAGGUAACGGCUUACCAAGGCUACGAUCUGUAUCCGGUCUAAGAGGACGGUCGGACACACUGACACUGAAUAACGGGUCAGACUCCUACGGGAGGCAGCAGUCGGGAAUUUUGGGCAAUGGGGGAAAGCCUGACCCAGCAACGCCGCGUGAAGGAUGAAGUAUUUUCGGAUGUAAACUUCGAAAGAAUGGGAAGAAUAAAUGACGGUACCAUUUAUAAGGUCCGCUAACUACGUGCCAGCAGCCGCAGUAAU
rnacentral:rRNA from 1 species